UACAGAGGGUGCGAGCAUUAAUCGGAAUUACUGGGCGUAAAGCGCGCGUAGGCGGCUUUGCAAGUCGGGUGUGAAAUCCCCAGGCUCAACCUGGGAACUGCAUUCGAGACUGCAUUGCUAGAGUAUGGGAGAGGGAAGUGGAAUUUCCGGUGUAGCGGUGAAAUGCGUAGAUAUCGGAAGGAACAUCAGUGGCGAAAGCGACUUCCUGGACCAAUACUGACGCUCAUGUGCGAAAGCGUGGGGAGCAAACAGG
rnacentral:rRNA from 1 species